AAGUGUACUCCGAGCUUUCGUGGAACAAGACUCGGAGAAAACGGUCCUUGUGUGUAGCUUUAGUUGGGAUGAUAACCCCUAUUUGUGAGUUAACCCUUUCCCGGCUUUAAUUAAAACGUUUUAAUUAUAAUUAUACAGAAUAAAUACAUGUUUUUCAUUGAAAUCACUCGUAACUAUUUCCUACAGGUAGCCCAGACCCCGGGGGUACCAUGACAUCAUCAUCGUUACUUAGCAACUGACCACCCCCAAUUGUUUACACAAACAAUAUUAUACGAAGGCACAAAGUGACUAUAGACACUAAGUAAGUAAGUGUUCUCAAUGUUCUCACGGUGACAUAGUUCGAUCAGGAUCUGCCGAAAAUUCUCUGCGGGGUCGUAUCAACAGACGCCCUUUUCCCGGGAAACGUUCUUCACACGUUUACAAGUGGCUCAUGAUAUCCACUGCUGUACUACUAGCCUAAGCAAACCUAUACUGAAGCUAUCCUGAAGCUAUUAGAAUACAGUAGGUUGUACAAUUGCUACUCUAGACGGUCCAGCUCCUUCAGGCUCUGCUCUUUAUUUUUUAGCUUGAGGUACGUAGCUUCCUACCUAGCUACGAUCCCAGUCACUGUCCUCUCACUCUGUCCUCUCACUCUACAAGCAUCGAUAUAUUCUAUAUUCUCACUGUCUCUAUUGAAGUCAUCAUCAAACGGUCACUUUUCUUUCAACGUACUGCACAAAGAGUACCUCGAAGCAAGAUGUUGAAAAUACCACGUGAAAGUGCGCAUGUGCUGGUACCUACAGCGUGCGCAUAGCUGCAAAUUUUUGAAAAAUCUCGGUCCGCUGGACGACAUAUGUCGUCCAAAGCCGGGAAAGGGUUAAGGGUUAAAUACUUUUAUGGUUGUGUUUUCAUCAUAAUUGUAAUGUCACCUGUAACAUGCUUAGUGGCAUCGGAUGGAUCAAUAAAGUUCCCAACAAUGUGGUUUCCAAGGAGCUGUUGUUAGAGGGAUAGCCGAGAAAUGUUCCAUGGAAGACGUAAUUGUUAGACUCAGACAAAGAACAGUUCCUACGCCACACAUACGCCACACACAUACGCCACACACACAGAUUAAGGGUAUACUUAUAAAUUAUUUGACGUCCUAUAAAUGUGUUUAUAUAUGUGACAGGGCCUAGGAAAACAACCCUUAUGGAGCAAACUGAUAAUGUUCAGUACAAUUUAGAGCGGAUUUUGGUUUUCUUUCAUAAGAAGUUCUCCUCUAACUAAAAAAAAAAUGUUUGUAUAGUCGUUACAAGGCCAAGGCAGCCAUUAGUUUCUCAAAACGGUAGGUCAAUACUGUCCUCCUUUCACCCGAAAAUAUUUUGGGAUAGGAAUUAGGUUGUAAUAUUGUAAGCUUAAUUUAAUUAAGCAGUUUGCUCCAUAAGGGUUGUUUCCUAGGCCCUAGGCCCUGUCACAUAUAGUUAAUUUUAUUUAAUUAUGUGUAUGAAUGCAAUAUUAACUGAUUUACACUAUCACCUCUCAUGUGAUCUCUGUUAUGUUUGUUCUACUUACGUUUGUCUUGUGCUCUUGUGCAAUCUACAUGUAUCAGUGGAAUCAAGGGCGAAGAGGGCAUGCAACUACUAUCUAUCAGGGGCGGGGUCUUAUAUCUAGUAAAGAAUGCAAUCUAGUAAAGAAUGCAUUGCACGUACACCGUUUUUGUGCGUGCACGGUGAAGAUGUGGAGGUGAAGCAUUCGUACAGUUACUAAGAGAAGAGGGCAUGCAACUCACAAUGUAAACUGUGUAUGCGUCAAAAAUUGAUGAGUCAGCAGGAUAUGCUAUAUUUAGCCAACCGCCCACUAGAGGAGGUUGGUCACGAUUAAUUAAGAUUCACGUGACAUUAUGUUUUCUAUGUAAAAACUCCAAACCCAUCCAAACUUUUUAUCUACUUUCUUCGAUUAGCUCUCUUGUAUAACAUCUCCUGUUAGUUUACUCCUGUUAGUUUAUGAGUCGUAGUGCUACAUCAAGAAGAAACCAAGGACAACUCAAAGUUUGUGGUUUCUGGCUACGCACUUUCUAGUGUCACUAGCAUUGUUAGCAUCAUUUACUACUACUAGUAUAGAGAGCUACAAUCAUCUGCAGUAUGUUAGCUUAGCUAGAAUAGCUACUUUCUCUGUAAGUUUUCCACAAUGUAGCUCAUGUUCCACACAAACUGAACAAACUGAACUGCAUGGAAUAAUGCACUCGAUACAAGUUAGAGGUUUAUCGUCACUACUCUUCUCUCGUUAUUGUGCUGAGCAGUUCGAGUGUACUGAGUGUACUGUGCCUGACGACUUUCUACUCUAUGCUGCACGAGCAAUGAGCCAACUGAGUGUAUCGAACACUCUUGCCAAAGGUUUUGGUUGCAUGAGAGCUGACAGAUCUGAUUCCUUGUUUCCAACAAAUAGGAUGCCAAUGGGACUGCUGGAGUUUAUGGCAAAUUUCUUUGUAUCAAGCGAGUCACGGAAAGUAAGUGAUGCUUAAAGUUUGAGUACUGUCUAAAAUGCUACAGGUCCCAUCAUGUCCGGGUGAUUAUAGACAGUGGCUUCAAAGCCCAAUGUGGAGUGUAGCUCACCUUCCCUGGAUGAGGUAUAACUUAUGUAAUAUCAGGACUGCAUGUAUAUAUAUACGGUUCAGUAGAGUAAUCUCGCUUGUGCACUUCAUACUUUUUGCUGUAGAAUGUACUGUGGGAUACAAGUGACAUCAGACAAUAGUUUUAGAUGAAGCUGCUAAGUCACACCCCAAUUCUUGGUGGUGGGUCAAGGCCGUGAUUUGGUGAAAGGUCUUGGGGAGUCAGUGAGAGUGGAGAUGUUGAUCUCAAUGAUGGUGCACUUGCCAAGUUGCGUGAGGUAUUGGCCUGCACGAUCUAUCAGUGACAUUUCUUUUCUCACUCAGUGUCUUCACACAAUAGGUCUUCACACAAUGGACAAAGAUUAUUCUGAGCACCAAAAACAUGGCAAGUCAACAGAAUCGGUCAUGUCUUGGGACACUCUGAGUGAUCUGAUUGAGUGAGGCAAGGUUGACUGAAACGACCAAGGAUAGGGUACCAAGGAUAGGCUACUUGACGAAGCAUAUGAUCGAGUCGUGGCUGGCCAACUCAAUUCUCUGCGGGAAAAGCUUACAUCAUUUGCAAAGGGCACAGCUGCCACUCAUGUCCUGAUAGUGCUGAUAGUGAUGAUUUCUCCCGAAGAAAGAAGCAGAAGCAGGAAACCCUAUGCUCUGCCAGUGCAAUGCAUUCCUUACGUAAGAUCUGGAAGUGCGUGCCAUAGCCGACAAAGUGAUCACUGACAAAGGAAUGAAAGUUGCUGGAUUUACCACCAAUGGAGAGUGCGCCUCAAAGGUAGACAGAGGGCGUGUACGAGCUAAAUAUGCACGGAUGGGGAAGAAAAGAAUGCUAGGAAUGCUAACACCAACAUAUGAGUGGCAUAUGAGUGGCAGUUUAGUAAUUUAGAUGCUACACUGUUUAUCAUGUAUCUCAUUCACAGGUCAGGCAGAUGGAACUAUUUGUGUUUGGGUUGAAGAAGGCUGCUCACCUAGAGAUGUGAUUGAAAGGCUACGACCGAGGACUGUUCCUACAGGUUACAGUAUGUUAGGGAAAGAAGAUGAUGCUGAUAAGCUGCGUUCCAUCUUAGCGCAGCUGGAGUAUACCCAUGAAGUCCAGCAGUGGGUGUGUAAAGGAGUGCCAUUUGACACCCACCUGUAUGUACCAGAGAUCCACCCCAUGACUAAAGUAGGAUUCUGUGAACGUGAACGUGAAGAAACAAUAUGAGCCCUAAUGUACUCACUCAUUUACGUCAAAUACUACAUACUUGUGUUAUACAUACUAUGUGUUAAUCAUAAUUAUUACCUGCAUACUAUCAUAGCGAAUUGGAAACAAUGUACGAUUGGGAGAUUCAGACGACGUUGAGCUGCCUUGGAAGAUCUGAGGACAGGGAUAACAUAUCCCGCCGUUAAUUGGAGUUCACAAGCAAUCAGUUGAAGAUGUGGAGCGUUUUUUUGGCGCAGGUGUUACCAUGCAGAAGCCAAUUGGAGACGUGCCAUGACGUGCCAUUGAUGAACGUGGCUUGAGCAGCGGCAACAAUUCAGGAAUUUUAUUUAUUCUGGAUGAUUGGAUGCCCUGGCACGCGGAAAAUGAGGUUAAGGACUUUAGCCAAUACUAUACUACAAUAGACUUUGUGGUUUUGUACUUGAUUCUUCUCACCAGGGACGGCUAACACGAGAGUGUUUAGUAGCUCUGGUUGCUGAUAUUGAGUCGAGAAACUGGCGGCAGAUAUUUAAUGCCAACAAUGGUAUUGCACCAGAGCAUCCUCGCUCUUCUACCACCGACGAUGUUGAAUGCUUCUUCAGUGUGCUGAGAAGUCUUGUACGGAUGGAGGAAAGUAUGUGAUGGAGGAAAGUAUGUGAGGAGCGCAUGGACCCAGAUCUGCCCUUUUAUUAUCACACAUCCCAUGGUCGCUUUUAUGAAGACAAUAUGCCCGACUUCAACCAGGUACCAACCACAGUUAGACAGCCACAACAGUUAGACAGCCACAAAGACCACCAAGAAGAGAACUACUUGGCGACGUGGUGCUCGCUCAAUUAGAGCAUAUCCACGGAGUAGAUUUCCCACCAACAUCCACUGAUGAUGUACUGUAUGAACACGGGUAUGCAUCACAACCUUGUGUAUUUGAUUAUUACCUUGGUGAUUAACAGUUUGCUGAAGAACUCAAAAAUAUUUUACAUGUAUCUGCUUUAAUUAAUAUAAUAACA